CCACCCAUUAUGGCUCCCCUGCCAUAGGCCCCGCGGCCAGCUCACAGGGGCUGUGCCUAAGCCGACUCCCAUCGGGGCCACCGGUGCGGGGGUCCCUGGCUCGCGGCUGGCGCGCUCCAAACUAGGUGGUAGGCGGCUCUCUGCACCCUAGCGGAGGCCCCUCCGCACCCAUGGGGUCGAAUGCCGGCCGCCCCGGGGUACAGGAGUCCUGGGGCCGGGACAGGAGCAGCUUGCAGGAGACAGAUCUUCACAGGCGACCAGCUCCAGAGCGCUAGGGAACGUGUCCUGGAAAGGACCCAGCACGGGGUUUGCAGCGGCCCCAGACGCCUGUGGGAGAAGCGUCCGUGUAAAACCACGUCAGGGCACUGUUGAUCGCAGUUAGGUUGGCCGCAGUGUGAUUCAUCCAAACAAGGCAGGAAGGCCCCGCGUUCCCGAGACACUCGGUUAGGAAGUCCCGGUCACGGACAAAGCUGGUUGAGGCUUCCCCGCCGCACUGGCUCCCCCUGCACGUGGGUUCUCCUGCGUGCACGUAUCCUACGCCGGUGUGGAAGAAGGCACAAGACCCUGGGCCUGGCUGCCCCACUGACGUUUACCAGGAGGCAGGACUUGGGGUGCCCAGGGGGCUCAACGGCUGAGUAUCUACCUUCAGCUCCGGGGGUGCCGGAUCGAGUCCCGCAUGGGGCUCCCGGAGGGAGCCUGCUCCUCCCUCUGCUGUGUCUCUCAUGAAUAAAUAAAACCUUAGGGGAAAAAAAAAAAAAAAA